UGGGGAAUCUUGCACAAUGGGGGAAACCCUGAUGCAGCGACGCCGCGUGAACGAUGAAGCCCUUCGGGGUGUAAAGUUCUUUCGACAGGAACGAUAAUGACGGUACCUGAAGAAGAAGCUGCGGCUAACUACGUGCCAGCAGCCGCGGUAAUACGUAGGCAGCGAGCGUUGUUCGGAGUUACUGGGCGUAAAGAGUGCGUAGGCGGCGAGCCAAGUUUGGUGUGAAAUCUCCCGGCUUAACCGGGAGGGUGCGCCGAAAACUGGUUGGCUGGAGUAUGGGAGAGGAGAGCGGAAUUCCUGGUGUAGCGGUGAAAUGCGUAGAUAUCAGGAGGAACACCUGCGGUGUAGACAGCUUUCUGGACCAAAACUGACGCUGAGGCACGAAAGCGUGGGUAGCAAACA
rnacentral:rRNA from 1 species